rnacentral:rRNA from 1 species
UGAAUACGAGACGCUAAGGCGUCGAAGUAGUGUACGUCAUACUUCCAAGAAAAGCUUGCACUGUCAUAGAUAAAAAACGCCUGUACCAUAACCGACACAGGUGGGUAGGUAGAGUAUACUAAGGGGCGCGAGAUAACUCUCUCUAAGGAACUCGGCAAAAUAACUCCGUAACUUCGGGAGAAGGAGUGCCUUAUUCUUAAGGUUGCAAUAACAAGAUCCAAGCAACUGUUUAUCAAAAACACAGGUCUCCGCUAAGUCGUAAGACGAUGUAUGGGGGCUGACGCCUGCCCAGUGCCAGAAGGUUAAAGAAGCUGGUUAGCAUUUGCGAAGCUAGUAACUGAAGCCCUGGUGAACGGCGGCCGUAACAAUAACGGUCCUAAGGUAGCGAAAUUCCUUGUCGGGUAAGUUCCGACCCGCACGAAAGGCGUAAUGAUUUGGAUACUGUCUCGGAGAGGGGCUCGGUGAAUAGACUUGUCUGUGAAGAUGCGGACUACCUGCACCAGGACAGAAAGACCCUAUGAAGCUUUACUGUAACUUGAAAUUGAAAUUGGACUUUAUUCGCGCAGUAUAGGUGGGAGGCGUUGAUUAUAAUCUUGCGGGAUUAUUGGAGCCAUUAGUGAGAUACCACUCUUGUAAUGUUAGAUUUCUAACUUUGAAUCAUUAUCUGGUCAAAGAACAGUUUCAGGCGGGCAGUUUGACUGGGGCGGUCGCCUCCUAAACGGUAACGGAGGCGUACAAAGGUUUCCUCUGAACGGUUAGAAAUCGUAUCUAGAGUGUAAAGGCAUAAGGAAGCUUGACUGUGAGACCUACAAGUCGAGCAGGGACGAAAGUCGGUCUUAGUGAUCUGACGGUACUGAGUGGAAAGGCCGUCACUCAACGGAUAAAAGUUACUCUAGGAUAACAGGCUGAUCUCCCCCAAGAGUUCACAUCGACGGGGAGGUUUGGCACCUCGAUGCCGGCUCAUCGCAUCCUGGGGCGGUAGUACGUCCCAAGGGUUGGGCUGUUCGCCCAUGAAAGCGGUACGCGAGCUGGGUUCAGAACGUCGUGAGACAGUUCGGUCCAUAUCCGGUGUAGGCGUUAGAAUAUUGAGAGGAGCCUUCUUUAGUACGAGAGGACCGAGAAGGACAUACCUCUGGUGCACCAGUUAUCGUGCCAACGGUAAACGCUGGGUAGCUAUGUAUGGAGUGGAUAACCGCUGAAAGCAUCUAAGUGGGAAGCCCACCUAAAGAUAAGUAUUC